GUUUCAUUGUGCCUAAAAGCCAUCUAGUUCAAAUCAAAAAAGGGAAAUUCGUUUGAGUAAUACAUUUCUAUAGUUUUAUUAUUCUUACCACUAAUAACAAGUAUAUGGUACCCCUGACCCCAGAAAAUGACUAGCACAAAAAUAUGUAGAGUAAAAAAUUUGUUACUAUUAUUAGAAGGAACCUUCUUUAUAACUUAUAAGCUCUAUGUAUUUUAAUACUUAUAGGCAUGCAUGUACAUGCAUAAUUUUCUUAGAAACUGCGUCCCCUUUUGUAUUUAUCGAUGCACACUUUGCUUAGUGAGGUUCUGGUGAUAAAUCAAUUGCUGGGAUAUGUAGGGAUUAUGUGUAGUUGGAAUUUAUAAACAGAAGGGCCCAUUUGUACUAAAAUAAAAGGAAACUUCCCAAGAUAUCACCUGUCUUGCUUUUAAUUGAUGA